GUGGGGAAUAUUGGACAAUGGGCGCAAGCCUGAUCCAGCCACGCCGCGUGAGUGAUGAAGGCCUUCGGGUUGUAAAGCUCUGUGGGUAGGGACGAAAACGGUCCGGAAGAAACGACGGAUCCUUGACGGUACCUACUUAGCAAGCACCGGCUAACUCUGUGCCAGCAGCCGCGGUAAUACAGAGGGUGCGAACGUUGCUCGGAAUUACUGGGCGUAAAGCGCGUGUAGGCGGAGCGCUAAGUCGGGCGUGAAAUCCCCAGGCUCAACCUGGGAACUGCGCUCGAAACUGGCGUUCUCGAGUAUCGGAGAGGGUGGCGGAAUUCCUGGUGUAGAGGUGAAAUUCGUAGAUAUCAGGAGGAACACCGGUGGCGAAGGCGGCCACCUGGACGAUCACUGACGCUGAGACGCGAAAGCGUGGGGAGCAAACAGGAUUAGAUACCCCAGUAGUCC
rnacentral:rRNA from 1 species